rnacentral:rRNA from 1 species
GCCUCGCGCAGCAGGAUGAGCCGAUGUCCGAUUAGCUAGUUGGUGGGGUAAAGGCCUACCAAGGCGACGAUCGGUAGCUGGUCUGAGAGGAUGAUCAGCCACACUGGGACUGAGACACGGCCCAGACUCCUACGGGAGGCAGCAGUGGGGAAUAUUGGACAAUGGGGGCAACCCUGAUCCAGCAAUGCCGCGUGUGUGAAGAAGGCCUUCGGGUUGUAAAGCACUUUUAUCGGGAACGAAACACCGUGGGUUAAUACCCUGCGGGACUGACGGUACCCGAGGAAUAAGCACCGGCUAACUCCGUG